GACGAACGCUGGCGGCGUGCUUAACACAUGCAAGUCGAACGAUGAUGCCCAGCUUGCUGGGUGGAUUAGUGGCGAACGGGUGAGUAACACGUGAGUAACCUGCCCCUGACUCUGGGAUAAGCGUUGGAAACGACGUCUAAUACUGGAUAUGACUGCCGGCCGCAUGGUCUGGCGGUGGAAAGAUUUUUUGGUUGGGGAUGGACUCGCGGCCUAUCAGCUUGUUGGUGAGGUAAUGGCUCACCAAGGCGACGACGGGUAGCCGGCCUGAGAGGGUGACCGGCCACACUGGGACUGAGACACGGCCCAGACUCCUACGGGAGGCAGCAGUGGGGAAUAUUGCACAAUGGGCGAAGGCCUGAUGCAGCAACGCCGCGUGAGGGAUGACGGCCUUCGGGUUGUAAACCUCUUUUAGUAGGGAAGAAGCGAAAGUGACGGUACCUGCAGAAAAAGCACCGGCUAACUACGUGCCAGCCGCCGCAGUAA
rnacentral:rRNA from 1 species